AAUAUUGCACAAUGGAGGAAACUCUGAUGCAGCGACGCCGCGUGAACGAAGCAGGCCUUCGGGUCGUGAAGUUCUGCCCUUGGGGACGCUAAUGACGGUGUCCUCGGAGGAAGUCCCGGCUAACUACGGUCCAGCAGCCGCGGUAAUACGUAGGGGGCGAGCGUUGUCCGGAAGUAUCGGGCGUAAAGGGUUCGUAGGCGGUUUUUUAAGUCAGGUGUGAAAGGUCACGGCUCAACCGUGGUAAGCAUUUGAAACUGAAAGACUUGAGUUAAGGAGAGGAAAGUGGAAUUCCUAGUGUAGCGGUGAAAUGCAUAGAUAUUAGGAGGAAUAACAGUGGCGAAGGCGACUUUCUGGACUUAUGCUGACGCUGAGGAACGAAAGCGUGGGGAGCAAACAG
rnacentral:rRNA from 1 species